rnacentral:rRNA from 1 species
AGAGUUUGAUCCUGGCUCAGGACGAACGCUGGCGGCGUGCCUAAUACAUGCAAGUCGAGCGGAACUCUUCGGAGUUUAGCGGCGGACGGGUGAGUAACACGUGGGCAACCUGCCUGUAAGACUGGGAUAACUUCGGGAAACCGGAGCUAAUACCGGAUAACUCUUUUCCUCACAUGAGGAAAAGCUGAAAGACGGCGCAA